GUAAAAAUGACUUUGCGACAGUCGUUAUGUAUGUGUGUUUACAUAUGAAACGAAAGUGGAAAUUCAUUUUAACCAAUUGGACAAUUGUUUUUUAAAGUUUAAAGAUCUACUGUUCGUUUUUAUUUGAUUCAAGUCCAGUCGCUUUAAUACACGUUUAGUAAAGAUCCUUGUCCAGUCAAUGUGAUCCUUGUCCAGUCAAUGUGAUCCAGUCAAUGUGAUCCUUGUCCAGUCAAUGUGAUCCUUGUUCAGUCAAUGUGAUCCUUGUCCAUGCAGUCAAUGUGAUCCUUGUCCAUGCAGUCAAUGUGAUCCUUGUCCAGUCAAUGUGAUACUUGUCCAGUCAAUGAGAUCCUUGUCCAGUCAAUGUGAUCCUUGUCCAGUAAAGUUAUUAUAGAUCUGGGAAAGUGCAAUACAUGUUCUGGUGUUUGAUGGAAAGAGUCACAUCCUGCUUGUAGAAGUCAUUUGUACCUCAUUCAGGCUAUAAUGGAAAGUUGGAAUGAGAAACUAACUACAGCUGCUAGGGAUGGAGAUAUAGAAGCCUUAAAAUUAAGCCUACAGAAUGGUGCAGACAUUGAUAAUCGAGAUGU